UACGUAGGAUGCUAGCGUUGUCCGGAUUUACUGGGCGUAAAGCGCGCGCAGGCGGCACUGUAAGUAAGGUGUGAAAUCUCCCUGCUCAACGGGGAGGGUGCACUUUAGACUGCAGAGCUAGAGGACGGUAGAGGGGGGUGGAAGUUGCUGGUGUAGCGGUGAAAUGCGUAGAGAUCAGCAGGAACGACCCGUGGCGAAGGCGGCCCCCUGGGCCGAACCUGACGCUGAGGCGCGAAGGCUAGGGG
rnacentral:rRNA from 1 species